rnacentral:rRNA from 1 species
UAGGGAAUCUUCGGCAAUGGGGGGAACCCUGACCGAGCAACGCCGCGUGAGUGAAGAAGGUUUUCGGAUCGUAAAGCUCUGUUGUUAAGGAAGAACGAGUGUGAGAAUGGAAAGUUCAUACUGUGACGGUACUUAACCAGAAAGGGACGGCUAACUACGUGCCAGCAGCCGCGGUAAUACGUAGGUCCCGAGCGUUGUCCGGAUUUUUUGGGCGUAAAGCGAGCGCAGGCGGUUAGAUAAGUCUGAUGUGAAAGCCCCCGGCUCAACCGGGGAGGGUCAGUGGAAACUGGUUGACUUGAGUGCAGAAGAGGAGAGUGGAAUUCCAUGUGUAGCGGUAAAAUGCGUAGAUAUAUGGAGGAACGCCAGUGACGAAGGCGACUCUCUGGUCAGUAACUAACGCUGAGGCUCGAAAGCGUGGGUAGCGAACAGG